UACGUAGGGUCCAAGCGUUAAUCGGAAUUACUGGGCGUAAAGCGUGCGCAGGCGGUUCGUUAAGUCAGCUGUGAAAGCCCCGGGCUCAACCUGGGAAUGGCAUUGGAAACUGGCUAGCUGGAGUGUGGCAGAGGGGGGUGGAAUUCCGCGUGUAGCAGUGAAAUGCGUAGAGAUGCGGAGGAACACCGAUGGCGAAGGCAGCCCCCUGGGCCAACACUGACGCUCAGGCACGAAAGCGUGGGGAGCAAACAGG
rnacentral:rRNA from 1 species